rnacentral:rRNA from 1 species
GUCUACAGCCAUGCCACCCUGAACAAGCCCAGUGUCUGAUCUCGGAAGCUAAGCAGGGACGGGCCUGAUUAGUACUUGGAUGGGAGACCACCUAGGAAGACCAGGUGCUGUAGACA